rnacentral:rRNA from 1 species
GACGAACGCUGGCGGCGUGCUUAACACAUGCAAGUCGAACGGUGAAGGGGCCUGCUUUUGUGGGUCCUGGAUGAGUGGCGAACGGGUGAGUAACACGUGAGUAACCUGCCCCCUUCUUCUGGAUAACCGCAUGAAAGUGUGGCUAAUACGGGAUAUUCUGUGCCUGCUGCAUGGUGGGUGUGGGAAAGAUUGCGCCCUUUUUGGGUGUUUUUGGUGGGGGAUGGGCUCGCGGCCUAUCAGCUUGUUGGUGGGGUGAUGGCCUACCAAGGCGGUGACGGGUAGCCGGCCUGAGAGGGUGGACGGUCACACUGGGACUGAGACACGGCCCAGACUCCUACGGGAGGCAGCAGUGGGGAAUAUUGCACAAUGGGCGCAAGCCUGAUGCAGCGACGCCGCGUGAGGGAUGGAGGCCUUCGGGUUGUGAACCUCUUUCGCCAGUGAAGCAGGCCUGCUCCUUGG